CCGUCGGUCCCUGUAUGUUAAGGUCUAAAGGCUGCUUUCCAAAUCUCUUCCCAACCUGUUGUUACUGUGAUUAGUUACCCCUUGAGAAAGUCGUUCUCCAGUUAUGAUUCAAAUAUUUUGUGGAGGAAUUAGGAUAUCACCUAUUUAUUCCUUAUGUCCUAUAUUGCAGCUUUAUAGUUUACAGAGCAUUUUUAAACACACAUUUUUUAAUCUGAAUCUCUUUUAUCAGUUUUGAAUGGCAGAAAGAAGAGAUAUUAUCACUGAAGGAAAAGGAUUGGGAACAUGAAUUGACUUGAUCAAAGGCAUACUGAAUUUGUGGUAGAACCAAGUCUAGAUGAGUUUCUUUAACUCCAGAGCAUCUGCUUAUUCCUUCUAGAUUUCAGUUGUCCAUGUUUGGAAGCUGAGGUUUGCUUGUUUUAUGGUGCUAUUGCUCUACCACUAAGCUACACUUCUAGCCCUGUAAGCUGAGUUGUUAAGAGCAAGGACUUCAUCCCUGUCUGGUACCCCUUAAUCUUUAGGGCUAGGACUGAGUGUGUUACAUAAGGUCUGUCCCUUAGGAUUCUGAUCCUAUGAUUUAUGUCUUGUCCUCCAUAAUUCAAUGAUUCUUUGACUUUAAGGCACAGCUCUGACAAAGAUAGCCUUGGCCUUUAGUGAUACUACCAGCUGAGCAUUUCAACAGGGCACCCAUUUGGCUGGUAACCUUUCAAGAUCCAUCCUUAAUGAUGCAGGGAUGGUGAUGGAAUAGAACAUAUUAAAUAUAUAUCAAAACACACACACGAUUGCUAAGAAUGAGAUCAACUUUUAAAGUGAGUCUAUUUAAGGAAAACAUUAAGUAAAUAAUAGUAUGGUGAUAUGCAAAAGAAGAAAGCAUGAACUUGCCAAUGACAAAUUCAAGGAAUUGUGAUGAAGUAGGAAGAUACAACAAAACUAAUGAGUCACAAAAAUAAUUCUAAGUUUGGCUCUGUCAUACUUAAGCCAUGUAACCCUAAUGAAGCUGCUAACCUUAAGUGAGCCUGUUUCCUCAUUUAUGAAGUCGAGAAAGAAUUCCUACCCUCCUUCCCUUGGAAUGUUGUGAAAGCAUGUUAAAGCCUGGAAUGUACCAGGCUAAUGUCUGGUGCUACUGAUAUCCUAAGUCCUUUUUACCCACAUUUUUCCAGACCUCCUCUCUGCCACCACAGAUUAUGCCUCCCACCCAGCCUCAAUUUCCUGGAAGCCCAAGGACUGAUUCCAGUUCAGUUUGUUGUCUACACCUGGGUUUGCUAUUCUGAAGGUGGGGAGGAGGGAAGGGCUGGAGAAAUGCUGGAAUCAGUCUGGGAACAAGUCCCAGCACAUGUCACUGUUUGCUUUGUCAUCCUGAUUCAAUGACCUCAUACUAGGAAGGGAGGAGCAGCAGGAGCUGUUCAGUUCCAGAUACCUAAGGCGGCUUCUGACAUCUACUGUUUUCCUUGGCAUGAAAGAGCAGGCACUGGGCUGUGAUUUUUUAAGGUCUGAGCUAAUCUGGGAAGUGAAGAACAGUACCUCCUGCAGCUGACCAGACUCCUCUUCUUGGGAGUUGCUUUGAACAAAGGGGUAGAGGGCACUGGAGAGGCAUCAGAAUCUGUGCUGUUGCUCCUGCCCCUUGGAGGGACUCCAGAACACAAGGUCUAUUCCUACAUUUUCAUCCGUCUUAGUACUACCUGAGGUGAGUGCUAAGAAUGGGCAUAUUGCCCAGUUAAAGGAGAAAGAGCCUGGGGCUUGGACAGCUACUGAAUUGUUUCUUAGCCUGAUCCUUAUAGGAUAGCCAACAAGCAUUCACAGAGGCUCCAAAGCCCUUAGAAGCCAGAGAGCAUCUCAUCCUCAUGGGCUCACACAUUCACUGAGCAUUUUGACAGCAUUUACUAUGUACCAGGCCUUUUGGAGAAAUGAGGCAGUCACGGUUUUACCACCAGGAUCCCUUAUCCCACCCCACCUGGCACCCUGGGCUUAAUUGAGGUUUAAAUAAUUUUGUUGGCUGAACAGUUUGGCUUCGUUAAUUAUUAAUUUCCAGGUUUUUGAUAAUCAGAUAUUUGCAUAACUAAAAAUAAAUGUUUCAGAUCAAAUUUUGUCUUCAUUGGAUUUACCAGCUAUUUUUAAAAGUAGCUGGCAAGCCAGGCUUGGUGGUGUAUGUCUGUAAUUCUAGCUACUUAGAGGCUGAGGCAGGAGGAUCUCAAAAUUUGAGGCAAAAAAAAAAAUUGAGGCUAGCCUGAGCAACUUAGUUAGGCCCUGUCUCAGGAAAAGAGAGAAGGAAAAAAAAAAAUCUGGGGAUGUAGUUCAGUGGUAGUGCUCUUGCUUAGCAUGCAUGAGGCCCUGGGUUCCAUUCUCCAGUACCACACACACACACACACACACACAGAGCUGGUAGAAUACAGGGGAAUGAGUUCAAGGUUUUAGAGUCUUCAGCUGGAUUUUGAGGGGUAGAUAAGAGUUCAUAAGUAGAAAAAAAGAGAACACUACAAGCAGAGGGAGCAGAAUGAUCCAGGUGCUAGUCCCAAAACCUGUCCCAAGGCCAAUCUGUUGUAUUGGACUGUGUCUUGAGCUCAAAGGCGUGAACAUUAUAUAAUGUAUUUUGUACUGGAGAUCAAACCCAAAGCUUUGCACAUGCUAGGCAAGAGCUCUACUACUGAACUACAUUCCCAGCUCUUUGAGCUUAGUGAUUUAGAAACCAGAGUUUAGAAUAGAAUUGAUGAGGGUGGAGAUGAGAACUGGAAAUCUUAUGGUUAAGUGUUCCAGUUUUUCCACAUCAUCGUUUUGAGAAAUGGAGGCAGGAAAUCCCAUUGAAGUCCCUUUGGUUCCCAAGGGCAGAGGCGAAAAGAAUAUAGCAAAGGGUAAGCUAAAAUUUUGCCCCAGAGCUGGCCUCAAAACCUGUCUCCCAUCUGACUGCCCCACCCCGUAGCUCUAAGAGCAAACCAUUUAUUUUGUAUGAUUUUAAAAAACUGGCUCAUCUCAUAAAUGUUCCAGAGUCAGAACAGGCUGUGCCAUGGCUGAAAUAAACCUGCUGAACAAAUAAACAAGACAGGCUGUGGGCUGGGGAAAGCACUAGACAUGGGCCCCAUCAGAUCCGGACCUCAGCAAGGCUCUCCUGAGUCUGGGCCUCUGCUUCUUCCCUUUAACAGAAAGGGUGAGAUUUUGGGGGUCCUUCCAGCUCUGUGCUCUAGGCAAAUCAUAAAAAGGAGAGAAUUAUGAGCCUUCUUCAGAAGCCUCCUUCCUUCCACAUCAGGAGGCUAAGGGCUGAAGAGGGGGAUCUCUUCAUGAGCAAACAUUGGAACCAGAGCUCAGCCAUUCUCUUGUUCAUUCAUCAUAUACUACCUGAGAGUCUAGUCCCUGCUAGGUGCUGUGCUGCCCUGUCUCUCAAGGUACAUACAAGGAGUCAUAGUUGGGUUAGCAGAAGAGAGAAGACUGAUAGUUCCUUACACACACCUACCUCUUGCCCCCUGUCCCCAUGCUUGUUCCUGCUGUUCCCACUGCCCAGAUUGCCAACUCCUCCCUUCUCCUUCAAUCUCAGUUUAAAUGUCAUUUCCCUGACCACAUUAUAUAUGGUAGGGUACCCCAUCUCCCCCGUCACUCUCCAUCACCCUUAUAGAAUUUGCAGAACUUUGUAAGUAUAUAUGUCUGCCUGUGUAGUUUGUCACUUAUUUUCCAUCUUUCUGGCUAGAAUAUAAGUUACACAAAGGCAAGGAUUCUAUUUGUUUAUCACUUCUGGACUCUAAGCAUACAUUUAUAGAGUACAUGAACAAUUUCUUGGCAGAUACCAUGUUUUUUACAUAGACUUCUUCAUUUAGUCUUCUUAACUCCAAGAAAGAAGCAUUCUUUUAUCUUCUUUAGAGUGAAGUUCAUUAGAAGCCUCUGGAUGGAUCUUGCAGUUGCAAGAUUGAGAGAUUGGGUUCAAACCUCCUCUUCAAGUUGGGACUGUUUUUACUUCACCAAACUGCAGGGACAGAUAAUAUGAGGCUCUGAGCAUGGCAUCUGAGCUCUAUUUUUUUUUUUAGAAAACAAAAUUUUUUUUCAAACCCAGGGGCACGCUGUCACUGAGCCACGUUCCCCCACCCCCUUUUUAUUUUUAUUUCUUGAGACAGGGUCUCACUAAGUCGCUUAGGGCCUUGCUAAAUUACUGGGGCUGGCCUCAAAUUUGCAAUCCUCCUGCUUCAGCUUCCCAAGUUGUUGGGAUUACAGUCAUGCACCACCACACCCAGUUUAUUUUGACAUCAUUUUAAUUUACCUAAAAGCUGCAAAACCAGUACAAAGAACUCUAGUGUAUUCUUCACUCAGGUUUACCGAAUGUUCACAUUUUGCUACAUUUGUUUUAAUAACUGAGUGUAUAUAUACAUAUUUAUACUUAUUUUCUUUCUUUUUAACCAUUUGAGAGUAAGUUGCAGACUAGCAAUUCUUCCCCCUUAAAUAUUUCAGUGUGACUUUCUCAAGAACUUGGAUACUUUCUUACAUAAAUCAGGGAACUUAACAUGGAUAUAAUGCUAUUACUUAAUAUAUAAUGCAUAGUAAAGUUCAUUCAGUUUUCCAAUAAUGUUCUUAACAGAGAUGGUCCAGGAUCUAAUCCAGAUCACACAUUCCAUUUAGUUUCAUAUCUCUUGAGUUUUUACCAUAGAACAGUUAGUUCCUCAGCCUUUCUUUGUCUUGCGUGACAUUGAUAUUUUUCAUGAGUACAGGUCAGUUCUGUAGUAUGCUUCUUGGUUUGGUUAGUCUGACGUGGGCUCACAAUUAGAUUCCAAGUUAGGCAUUUGCUGGCAGGAAUCCCACAGAAGUGAUGUUGUAUUCUCAGUGUGUCAUAUCAGGAGCCAUAUGAUGUCUCUGUCUUGGGAUUGAUGAUAUUAACUUUGAUCACUUGAUUUAGGAGAUGUCUGCCAGGAAAAGUUACUCUUUCUUCUUAUAAUUAGUAAAUAAUUGGGUGAAGGAUUAUUUAAGGCUGUGAGUAUCCUUUCCUCAUCUAACUUUUACUUCCAUUGAUGAUUCUUGCUUGAAUCAAUUAUUAGUAUGGUAGUUGCAAAACAGAUCUUAUUUCUGAUUUUAAGGCUGAUGUCUAUCAGGAUAAAUGGGUAGGAUGGAAGGGAGGAGGGAGCAAGAGACCUAAUUCUAAAAACACCUGGUUUCUCAAAUGUCUACUGAAAUAGGAAGUGACUGAUAUUAAUUUCCUACCUUACUAAGUAAAAAGUGAAAGAAUGACAUGGGAUUUUUCAUGAAAAAUAAAAGAUGUUCAUUACUAGCCAGGUGCUGUGGUACUCGACUGUAAUCCUGCUGAGGCAGGAGGAUCAUAAGUUCAAAGCCAGCCUCAGCCACUUAAUGAGACCCUAAGAAACUUAGCAAGACCUUGUCUCAAAAUAAAAAAAGAAAGCAGGGCGGCCGGGAUUGUGACUCAGUGAUUAAGUGCCUCCUGGGUUCAAUUCCUGGUACCUCUCCCCUGCAAAAAAGAAAAAAGUUCAUUCCUAAUGGAAUAAUGAUUUCCAGUUUUCAAGCACAGAAUAACUCCCACACACCACACCAACCAUUUAGAAUUCAUUAUUUGUCUCAGUCCUCACAAAAACUCUGAGACUGUAUUGUUGCCUCUGAUUUAUAGACUGGAAACUUAAAACUCACUCAGAAAGUUUUAAGUGAAUUUACCUAAAGUCAUACGGCUAGAAAGUGGAAGAGUCGGGAUUCAAAUCAAGAUCUAUUGGGCUCCAAAGCCUUUACUCUUUUCCCUAGGAAGAAGUCUUUUUGUGUCAUGGUAGUCAGUCUCCAUACAUUCCAGGCAAUGCCAGUUUCCAACUGUUUUCCAGCCUAAGGGUGAGUUAUGCUGCAAAAGGGAAUGUUAAAUAUGGGGGUCUGAAGCCUGCAAAGAGGCAGGUGAGGCCCUCAGUAUAGUUAGUUAUGGCAUCAGCCAGGUGGCUCCUGAUUUACAGACAUCACUGCUCCCUGAGCAGCCCCAUGGCUGGCAGUGGUCUGAGAGGACCUCCCACCAAUUCAGCUAUGACCCCCUGUAGCCCAAGUGGCAGAGCCAUCCCUAGACAUUGACUCAUCAGUUCCCCUUGCCAGGUACUGCUGCAUCUCCUGUGCUUAGAAAAGCAGGAAGCUGAACUCUGACAUUUUAGAAAGUCUUUGAACAAUAACCUUGAUUGAGGGGAUUUUCCAGGUAACCCUGGAGAAUUUCAUUUAACCAAAGGCUUACUGUAUUCUUGUUCUUUGAAAUGUGGUAAUUCAUGUACACUGCGUGUUUAUGAUAAUUCUCAUUAAUCAGUCAAGUCAACCAAAAGUGAUUUCUUCACCAGUUAGGAUACACCAUAGAACCACAGAAAUACCAAAUUUAAAAGAGCUUUGAGACUCAUUAUUUAAUAGGACUCUUCACUGUAUAGGGGGAAACUAAGGCCCAGAGAGGGGAUAAAAUUCAUUCACAUUUAUAUAGCCUAUUACUGGCACAACCAGAACUAGAAAUUCUCAGUUCAAAGUGCUUUCUGCCACAUCAAAAAAAAUUUUCUUUAAAAAAUGUUUUUGUAGUUGUGGAUGGAUUGACUGCCUUUAUUUUAUUAAUUUAUUUUUUUAUGUGGUGCUGAGGAUCAAACCCAAUGCCUCACAAAUGCUAGGCAAGUGCUCUUCCACUGAGCCACAACCCCAGCCCCCCCACAUCAAAAAAUUUUAAGUUCAGGGUUUCCUGCAGGUUGAAUUUAGACUGCAACCAUGUUUUGUUUGGGUGUCAUAGUAUUUUGGAAAUUGGGAGGUUUCAUGUAAAAAUCCAAAUUUCGUGAGUUUUUGUUUUGUGUUAAAAGUAGGAAAUAUGGCCACACUGGGCCUGAUGGCAGUGGAACUACUCAAUCCCCCUCUAGACUGAGGCACUAGAAUCUAGAAGCCACUUCCUAUCACUCCCUGUCAUCGUGCACCUGAUCUGUUUCAUGACCCACCUGACCUACUAAGCACUGGAAUUUGGCUUCUGUGCUUUCUGGUGAAGGGUGCUCUUUGGUUAAAAAAAAAAAAGGAGGGGGGCUAAAGUGAGUCAGAUUGAAAAACAGGGAAGAUAAUAAGAAAUUAGAAGCUCUUGAUAUGGAAGUGAUCUAUGUUAAAGGAUGGAGAAGCUGUGGGCAGAAAAAACAUCCAGGGAGCUACUGGAAGGAAGAGAUGGAUGCCAGAGAUCCCAAAGGAGAUAUAGACAGGAUUUGAUGCCUGCAUGCAGGUGGGAAGAGAGGGAAAGAGAAGAAUCAAAGCUGAUGGAACCUUUGUGUUGGAUGAUCAGAGGAAUGGUUAUGGCCCAAACAGAAAAGGGAAACCAGGAGGGAAAGCUGGUUCGGGAAAAAUAAGAAACUCAUUUUUAGGUAGGUAUUAUUGGAAAUGACAAUAGGGCUUACAUUUAAAGUUGUGCAGUGGGCAACUGAAUUUGAGACUGGAAUUUAAGAGAUCAGAGCAGGUAACCUAGAGGAUAUAGCUGAGCCCAUCAAAUUCAGUGUGAUCUCUUCUGAAAGGCAGAAGGCCAAGAACAGGGAACUCAGUGCAGCAUGAUGAAUACUGGAAAGUGGCCACUGUUUAAAAAAUCACAGAACAGCAGGAGGAGCCAGCAACAGAUAAGGAAUCCGUGAGGCAGGAAGAGAUUGAGGUUGGGGUAUCACUGUAGAAGACAUAAGGCAGAGAUAAAGAAUAGAAACAUAACCAGAGAGUAUCCUAGAGAAAAUGGAAGAUCUAAUUAAGGUGGGAGGGAGGUAUGUUUGUAGGUUGUGCUUUGUAGGAGUCAUGGGGGGCAGUGAAGUGGCCCUCUUUUAAUAACUAUGGAAAAAUGGGGGAAUCAAGAUCAAGUAGAUUUCAAAGGCUGAUUCUCAUAUUAGCUACUCUGUAUGUGCCUGGGAAUGGGCUCCUGACUUCUCACUCAUUAUUCCAGAGAUAGCUCAUCUCACAUCAUUUCCUUAGUUUGGACUUAACUCUGUCCAUUUUUAAAAACAUUUACUUCUUAGCUAUAGGUGGACACAAUAUCUUUAUUUUUAUGUGGUGCUGAGGAUCAAACCCAGUGCCCCACGCAUGUGAGGCAAGCACUCUUCCUCUGAGCCACAAUCCCAGCCUCUGUUUUUGUCCAUUUUGACAAUGAAACAAAAUGCUUUAUACUGGGUCCUUUAUAAACCACAGAAAUUUACUUCCCAGAGUUCUGGAGGCUGGAAAAUCCAAGAUCUUAAGGCACCAGCAGAUCUGGUGAUCUGGUGAGGGGCCAUUCCUCAUAGAUGGUACUUGCUACGAGUCCUCGUAUGGUAGAAAGGGCAAAUAGGCUCCCUCAAGCCUUUUUUUUUUUAAUAGGAGCACUAAUCUCAUUCACAGAGGGAACACUUCUAAUCUGAUCACCUUCCAAAAGUUCCCUGCCUCUUAGUAAUGUGGGGGUAGAAGUUAGGUUUUAAUAUGUGAACUUGACAGUGGGGAGGGUGAGGAUGCUCUCAUAGACCAUACAGCUUUAACUAAAAUGUGCUUGCGCGUGCACACACACACACACAUAAACACACACACACACUGGAUGUUGCCCAUUCUGAGGGGCAGCAAAUUAUGUGUAAUUUAAAAGAUGCAAACUAGGCCUCUUCCCUUGAUAGAGGACAGUUAAAAGAUGCCUUCCCUUGUACCAAAUUAGUCAUGUGAUGAAGCUUUAUUAUUAGAAUUUCCAUUGCCGUAAACACAGUAGAAGUUCUGGGAUGUCAAGAUAGGUGUUAAAUUUGAACCCAAGUCUCUUGGAAUCCUAAUGUAGGGUCCUUUCCACUACUAGAUGCCAGCAGGACCCUGGUAGCAAACUAGCAUGGAAACCUGGAUAUGCCACUACCCUUAGGAAGCAGUGUACAAUCUAAUCUUCACUUAUCCACUUGCAUGUGAAAUGCUUGCCCAUAAAAAUACAUCUUUAAAAACACACAUUGAUUAUAAUGAGGGAGAUCAGAGGGUAGGGAGAGAAAGAAGAGAGUAAUGAAUCUGGGUGGGAUGAAACUCCCAAGAAGAGAUAGAUGUAUGCAAUACCUGGGACUGAGCUGCGGCUUUUAACCUGGAGCCUCGGAUUCCCAGGGUUGGAUGGUCCAACUUCAGGAGUUGCUCACACCCGAAAUUACAAGCAUCAUUGUAGUGACUUGUGUGCAUGUGGGUUGCUGUGGUCAUUUUCUAGGAGCAGGGCGCAUACUUCAUCAGAUUUUCAAAAUGGCCCUUGCCCAAAAAAGUUGAGAACCACUGAUGCGGAAGCAUGUACAGCCCCUUCCUGGAUUCAGAACACAAUGGCACAGUUUAUACCCGGUGCCUGUCAUUUUUUUCUAAAUUCUCGCCUAGAAAUCUAUUCCAACUAGACUCUUUCUACCCAGGGGGGAAAUCCCUCCUUCUGAAAGCCUAUUUUUAGGAAAGCCUGGCCGAGUGACUCCCCGCAGUCGCAGGGGUGCUGCGCAGGCCAGAGGGUGCCCGUGGCCCUGGAAGGAUCAGCAGCGCCAGAGGGGGCUGCGGGCGAGCGGAUGUCACGGCUUACCUCAGAGCCCGAAUUAGAAGCCUGAAAAAAUCACAGCAGGAAAUAAUGUGGUGCCUAAAAUAGAAGCAGCAACUGGGAGAGAGGCCGGGGAGUAGGUGGCAUUUGAGGCUCCUGCCGCGUCCCCCCAGCGGCUGCCAGCAAGCGCCUCUGAGGCGUGAGGAUGUCACCCGGCUAGAGGAGGCCGCCAAGGCCCAGCCGCUGUACUUAUGGCUGCUGGAGGAGGGGACUUAUUACAGUCACACUGGCAGGUGCCCCGCCUGUCUCCUCCAACCUUUCCCGCUCCCUCCUCCCCUCCCCCACCGUUCCUCCCACUGCCUUCUUCCUCCCACCACCUUCCCUUCAGCCCCUUCCUCCUCUCAACUUCCCACCAUUUCCUCCUUCCCCUCCCUACAUCAAGCCCCUCCCUUUCUUCCCUGUCUAGCCUCUGCCCCCUCUGCUCUAGGCUGCCAGGAGGCCCUUGGUGCACCCUAGGCAAUCAAAAGUCACUUAACAGCAGCUUCACCAAGGUCAGCCUCCUCUCCUGACUGGAGUAAUUCCUCCAUCAUCCUGCCCUCAGCACCCUUGCCACCUCUUUGGGAGAGGCUGGCAGGGCUAGUAUUCCUUCCCUGGGCUCUUGCUUCAGGAAGGCAGAGAGAAAGCCCAAGCUUGCCUGCUGACCUGGGCUGGCCACAGGAUAUCCCUCAAAUAAGUACACUGGUUGGGUGUGAGGUUUGCUAAGCCAGAGGCACUCUGUUACCAAGCUGUCAAGGGCAAAGGGCAGUGGACAAAAAUAAGGAGGGCCAGCACUUAAGAACUUACCCAUAAUUCACUUCAGUUACUCCUCAGGACACUAUGAGUUAGGAAUUUCUAUCAUUCCUGUUUUACAUAUGAAGAAAGGGAGACACAAAAAGAUGAAUUAACAUGGCAUGUUCAUAAAACAUGCUGGUGGCCAGGGAUGUUUGACUGCAGCAUCCCUAAACAUCCUACUGAACUUGAACAGACCUGUCAGCUUAGUGCUUGAAUUAAGCUUCUCCACUUAGUGUUCUGCUACUCAGCUUUUCUAAAAAGUAAUUGAUAGCUUGGAAAUUUCAGAUUUUUUUAAAUCCCAUAUUCCUGUAUUCUUAUUUUUACCUCCUGAGUAUCCCCCUGCACCACCACCACCCCAGCUGUUUUCUACUGAAAACAAGCUCUCUCGGUUUUUGCUAGUUUGAGAUGCUGUGAGUCCUCGGUACCAUCUGGAAUGGAAUGGGCAUUCAUUUGUGCUUGAGUGUGCUGCCCACACACAUGUGUUCCACUUGUUUCCUCUGCCUCAUGCCUUUCUGUCACUCUGGGGUUAGUGGUUUAUGAUUUACCAAACAUUCAUAAAGAGGUAUGUUGCUAAUGUGGCAUCACACAAGCAUUGUUCCCUGGAGUCUAGAUAUUAUUGGGAUAAAUGGUGAGAAAAAAUGACUGAGAUUGUGGGUAAGGGUGCAGGCACCUCCAAAGACUAAAAGAAAUGUCAGAAUAAAAAAUAUAGGGCUAGGGUUGUAGCUCAGAGUAGAGCACUUGUCUUGCACAUGUGAGGCGCAUUAAAAAUAUAGUUAGCAUGCAUUAAUAUGUCCUGAAUGCAAGGUUUUGUUCUAUAUAUUUUAUAAGAAUUAUCUCACAUAAAUGAUAAUAAGAAUCCUGUGACAUGAGUAUCAUCACCAUUUGACAGAAAACUCAAGUCAUAUAAAGCUUAGAGCUAGGGUUCUGAUGCAUUUAAUCAGCCCACUAAUUGCAAACAAAAACAGGGUGCUGUUUUUUUCGUUUUUUCCCUCCAAAAUAGAAAUAUCUUUGUCUUUUUGCUAGCUUUGAAAAGGUUUACAUGCUCACUGUGAAGAAUUAAAAUGAUACAAAGUACAUAAAGAAAAAAAUAAAAGCCUUUCUCCAUAAGCCCCCUCCUCAUGGACCCACAUUUAAAGGUUUCUGAUAUUGCCAUUGUAUCGGGGGAUCAGAAAGGUAUAAACAUAAACAUUUUGGCCAUAUACUGAAAUAGACAAGUUAUUUUAUUUCAGCCUUGUAAAAUGAAAGGUAAGGAUGUAGAAUAGGCUUCUGUAUUGCUGGUGACAGUUUAAUUAGUACAAUUUUUUUUUUUUCCUAUACUGGGGAUUAAAACCAGGGUUGUUCUACUGCUGAACUAUAGCCCCAGCCCUUUUCAUUUUGAGACAAGGUCUUCCUGAGUUGCCAGGCUGGCCUAGAACUUGUGAUCCUCCUACCUCAGCCUCCUACCUCAGCCUGUUGCUGGGAUUACAGGCAUUUCCACCAAGCCCUGCUAAUUAGUACAACCUUAAAGCAAUUUGUUAAUAUAUAUUGAGUGACUUAAAAAUAUUCAUACCUUAAAAAAUUCAUACCUGAUACUUUAUACCAAUUCUACUUAUGAGAGAGAGCCUAUCACAAAGAAAUAAAUAAAUGAAAAGCUAAUAUGUAAUAUUUUCAUAUUCAAAAUUUUGGCAUAACUUCAAUGUCCUUCAAAAAGAGAAUGGUUAAACCAGGUGCAGUGGCACAUGAUUGUAAUCCCAGCAGCUCAAGAGGUUGAGGCAGGAGGAUUGCAAGUUCAAGAGCAGUCUCAGCAACUUAGCAAGGCCCUGAGCAAUUUAAUGAAGACUGUCUCAAAAUAAAAAAUAAAAAGGUCUAGGGGAUAUGGCUCAGUGGUAAAGUGCCCCUGGGUUCUAUCCCCAGUACCAGAGACAGAGAGAGAGAGAGAGAGAGAGAGAGAGAGAGAGAGAGAGAAAAUGGUUAAAUAUGUCAUAAAAAAAAUUAGAGCCCUCUCCUUGCUAGAAUAACAUGCAGUCAUUUAAAAUGAUGUGUAAAGACUCUAAUAAUAUGAUGGAAAUGUUUAGAAUAUAAAGUCAAAUAAAAAAAUACACAGCCUGGUACUGUGGUAAUAUACCUUUAAUUCCAGUGACUUGGGAGGCUGAGGCAGGAGGAUCGAAAGUUUGAGGCCAGCCUAAACAGAUUAGUGAAGCACUGUCGUAAAACAAACAUGAAAAAGGCUGGGAAUGUGGAAAAGUGCCUCUGAGUUCAAUCCCCAAUAACAACAGCAACAACAACAAAAAUACACAGACACACAGAAACACACACACAUAUUUAUACUGCAUGAUUAAAAUUGUAUAAAAGGAAAUAAUAGCAAAAUGUAGAGUAUAGGGCUGGGGCUCAGUGGUAGGGCACUUGCCUGGCAUGUGUGAGGCACGGAGUUCGAUUCUCAGCACCACGUAUAAAUACAUAAAUAAAAUAAAGGUCUAUCAACAACUAUAAAAAAAGAAAAAGAAAAAGAAAUAAUAGCAAAAUGUUACCAGUGAUUGUAUUAGUAUAUGGAGACUAAUGUGGUUUUCCUUUUUCAUUCUUUCUGUAAUGUGGUUUAUUUUUGUAAUAAGAAUUAUAUCUGCUUAAAGACUGGAAAAUAGAUGCAAAUUAUCAAAGAACUCUUAUUUCUUCUCUCCUCUCUGAAUCUGAGAUUUACUUCUAAAAUGAAACAGAUUAGAAUUAGAUGACUUCUAAAUCAUGCCAGCUCUAAUAUUAUAUAUUUCCUGAUAGUCAAGUGACUCCCUCUGUAAUUGAUUUAGAGUCAAAAUUCAUCUCACCAUUAUGUACAAUAAUGCACCAAUAAAAAAUAUUGAAAAAAAACAAAGUCAACAUUCAAGCUACGUGCAGUGGUGUGCACUUAUAGUCCUAGCUACUUGGGAGGCUGAGACAGGAAGAUCCCUCGAGCCUGGGAAUUUAAGACAAGCUGGGCAGCAUAACCAAGCCCCAUCUCUUAAAAAAAUAACAAAAAGCCAAAAUUCAGUCACCACACUGAAAUUGAACAGAACAGAGUAGAACUUGUUCUGUGACCAUUAAUUUAGGCUCUGCCUACCUUUAUCAGAGUAUCCAUUCAUUUAAAAAAACCAGAAAGUUGUUUGGAUCUGCAUAGAGGCUCAAUCUAGGUUCAGUGUUCCCACUAGAAAGACAUUUUUUUUUUUCCUUAAAAAUAGAUAUCUUUUUCAUUCCCCACUGGGAAGGAGAGACUCCCAAACUUGGCAGUCCCAGAACUGGAUAAUUGGGGCAGUGACUUCUCAGCUUAUCCUGAUUUUGAGGGACUGUGUCCCAGCUUGGCUCUUUCAUUCCUCAUUCUAUGAGCUGGAAUACCAAAAAAAAUGGUAUGUGAGGCUCCCAUGGCCCUGCCUUGCCCACUCCUCUGCAGUGGCAAGGGAUAGAUGGAAACUGUUUACUAGGUGGAGAGCUCCUUGAAGGCAGGGACCAGGGUUUUAUUCUGGCACCUGAACAUGGAAUGAAUGAAUGGGUUAUCAACUAAGUGUGAAGAAGCCCAUUGCAUGGGAGAUCCAGUAGGAGUUCCAUGUAUCUAUGAAAUAAGUAAGGCUAGCAGUCAGAAGAAGUAUAUUGUGAGGUCACUGAUCUGGAGGAGUUGGGGGUGGGAAUGUGUUUGGGAAGGCACAAGGCUGGCACAGACUUCGUCAGAGCCCUGAAAGGGGCUGAGUGGGCUCUGACUCAGCUCCAUGAGUCACUCACUGUACUGCUGUCUCCAUCCUCUGGGCACAUCCUCUGGACCAUUGAGCUCAGCCUUAAGUGGAGGAGGGUGAAAUUUGGGCCUGCACUUCCAGAUGAGUCACCUAGCUGAGCUGGAAGGAAGGAGUUGAAGCACCACCCUCCUGUCCCCCAUCAACACCUGUGCUUCCUCAGGGGUUCUCAUGCAGACUCAGACCUCAUGAGUAGGUUCUAGUUGCUCCAUUAAUAGCCUACCUGGCUCUGUCACACUCCCCUGCUCAAUCUGCAUAAUUUCCAUGGUGCCCUCACAGAGUUGACUCCUGGGAUUCUCGUGGGCAUCUCAAGUGAGCUUAUAAAGAACUUUACAUGGCUGCCUCAUACCACUUGUCAUUCUAUAUUAUUUACCUCCCCCCAAACCUUUUCAGUUUGAAAAGCAGUUUUAUAUUCCUUGUCUCAUUGAUUCUUCUGAGACCCUGGGCAGCAAAUACCACCAUUCUACAGGGAAGAACAUGGAAGCUCCAAGAGGCACAGGAACUAAUGAAGGGAUUCAUGAAGGGCCUUGAAGGGCAAAGGCAUGCCACAGAAAGGGCAGAGCUGGCCAGUGGAACUUCCAGGCAUUGGGUUGGGCAGUGGGCUGGGGAAGAGGGACAGUGCUGGCCAUUCUGUGUCAUGACAAAAAAGAUAGCUGAUUGGGAGCAAAAGACAGAUGAGGUACUUUGUCUUUUCCUUAUGAUGAAAGGGAAGCCAUUGCAGGGAGCAACAUGGGUUUUAAAAACUUGUCUUGGGUGGAAUGUGAGCAGGGAAUUGGAACAGGGCCAGCCAGGAGCUGGCUCCACAGUUCAGGGAGGGGCUGGCCUGGUCUGCCUGUGGGCAAGUGCAGAGGAGUCAGGAAAGGAGGGGGGAAGCACUCAGAGAUCUUCUGGAGGCUGGCCAAGAAGGCCUCUAGGCUGGUGUCACACAGGCAAUUGAAAGUAGGGGUCUAAGGCUGUUACCCCUGAAUAAAUUAUAUAUAUUUAUUCCACUAUAAAGGCCCUGGCAUGCUAAGUAGGAUACAGUCCACAUGCAGAUGUGAUUGUAUUCAGUCAGGGGAUGACAAUGACUCAGGGUAGAAGGAUGGUCACUAGGGCCACCAACCCCAAGGAGCUGAGCAAAGGCAGGUGCCACCUCUGUGACAAUGCUCCUAAUAGGGGAAGUCCUUUUGUAAAGUUAAAGCACCUGCCCACCCAUUAAAAGCCCUAUAAAGGAGACAGGUGACUCUUGCCUCUUGGUGGCUCUAGAAUGAAACUAUGUUCUUGUUCCUCCCUCCACCCAACGUUGGGCUCCACAGAUUACCACCCAGGAAUGAGGACAUAGCCCUGGCAGAUAGGCAGGCAGCCAGGAAGGGGCCUCUUGGGAGAGUUCCUAGAACUUCUGGUGGAGUGUGG
rnacentral:lncRNA from 1 species